UACAGAGGUCCCGAGCGUUGUUCGGAUUCAUUGGGCGUAAAGGGUGCGUAGGCGGUCUUCUAAGUUUGAUGUGAAAUUCCGGGGCUCAACCCUGGCAUGGCAUUGAAUACUGGAGGACUAGAGUACCGGGAGAGGAAACUGGAAUUUACGGUGUAGCAGUGAAAUGCGUAGAGAUCGUAAGGAAGACCAGUGGCGAAGGCGAGUUUCUGGACGGUAACUGACGCUGAGGCACGGAAGGCCAGGGGAGCAAACGGG
rnacentral:rRNA from 1 species